AUGUAAUGAAAUUAUCAAUGUUCUUGAAUUAAUUAUGAACAUGAUUAAGAAAACUAAAAUCUCAGGAGCCAAGUUCUCAUUACCCAUGCAGUCUUAGGGAUUGCUUUCAUUCAGUGAGGGGAAAAGGCUUUGAGCAGACCCACUUUUGCAUUUCCCUUUCAUUGUUUUAUUACCUUGUUUAAUGUGUUGACUUUUCUUGUUUAACCUCGCACUCAUUUAACUAUUUUCUUCACUAUGCCUACCUAACAUUAUUUUGGGCACCCUAUUCCCACAAAGAACACCCGUGUUAAGAGGCCUGUGGGAGAGGAGACUGUUUUACCCUUUUCCAGUUCAGCAGACGAUGGUUGGCUGAAUUCUAUCAUUCAAGGAAUAGGAAGCCCUCUCACAUUACCCAGCAGCUGAAGGGACAGAUCUAUUUACUUCAAGGAGUUAAUUGAUUAUGCUGAGUUCACCUGAUGCCAGUCACCCUGCCGCAAGCAAAUAUUUGCUAUUAAUUAGGCAGCUGGAAACCAGAACUGGGAAAGAAGAUGAGAAUUGAAGACAUACAAGCCGCUUCUUCCUUUACCUCUUCCCUCACCAUUAAUUACAUCUACGGAGGCUCAGUUUCAAAUCUGGUGUUUGUUUCAUUUUUUUUUACUUUUACACUGAACUGUUGUUACAUUAUUUACAGUAGUUAUCAAUGCUUCAUUUCUAAAAUAUUAUUUUUAAUUAGACAAUGCAGGUGCUGCUGGGUUUUCAUGAGGCAUGAUUUAUGCUAUUUGCUAGUAACACAUUUUUUUGUUAGUAAAUAUUGUUUUUACCUUUCAGUAAAUGUGAUAAAUGGUGUACUGUGUUUUCUUUUAUUUAUUUUUUUAGUAAUGUAGUAGCUAAAUGAUAUACAGUAUAUACUGUUUGUGUACAA